AUGGUGACUCACAGAAUGACCUGGCCCUGGAAUACAUUUCGCGCGUGCUCACAGAGGAGGACAUCGUCGAUAAGUUCUUCUACCAGUACCCUGACCACCCGAAGCUCCUGCAGGCCGAGCAGCCCUUCGCCGAGAUCCUCGCCAACACCUCACCCGCCGCCGACCAGGACUCCUUUGCCGACUCCACCUCCAUAUUGA
rnacentral:rRNA from 1 species